CAGGCUUAACACAUGCAAGUCGAGGGGCAUCAGGAAGAAAGCUUGCUUUCUUUGCCGGCGACCGGCGCACGGGUGAGUAACACGUAUCCAACCUGCCCUUUACUCGGGGAUAGCCUUUCGAAAGAAAGAUUAAUACCCGAUAGUAUAAUGAUUCCGCAUGGUUUCAUUAUUAAAGGAUUCCGGUAAAGGAUGGGGAUGCGUUCCAUUAGGUUGUUGGUGAGGUAACGGCCCACCAAGCCUUCGAUGGAUAGGGGUUCUGAGAGGAAGGUCCCCCACAUUGGAACUGAGACACGGUCCAAACUCCUACGGGAGGCAGCAGUGAGGAAUAUUGGUCAAUGGGCGCUAGCCUGAACCAGCCAAGUAGCGUGAAGGAUGAAGGCUCUAUGGGUCGUAAACUUCUUUUAUAUAAGAAUAAAGUGCAGUAUGUAUACUGUUUUGUAUGUAUUAUAUGAAUAAGGAUCGGCUAACUCCGUGCCAGCAGCCGCGGUAAUACGGAGGAUCCGAGCGUUAUCCGGAUUUAUUGGGUUUAAAGGGAGCGUAGGUGGACUGGUAAGUCAGUUGUGAAAGUUUGCGGCUCAACCGUAAAAUUGCAGUUGAUACUGUCAGUCUUGAGUACAGUAGAGGUGGGCGGAAUUCGUGGUGUAGCGGUGAAAUGCUUAGAUAUCACGAAGAACUCCGAUUGCGAAGGCAGCUCACUGGACUGCAACUGACACUGAUGCUCGAAAGUGUGGGUAUCAAACAGGAUUAGAUACCCUGGUAGUCCACACAGUAAACGAUGAAUACUCGCUGUUUGCGAUAUACAGUAAGCGGCCAAGCGAAAGCAUUAAGUAUUCCACCUGGGGAGUACGCCGGCAACGGUGAAACUCAAAGGAAUUGACGGGGGCCCGCACAAGCGGAGGAACAUGUGGUUUAAUUCGAUGAUACGCGAGGAACCUUACCCGGGCUUAAAUUGCAGUGGAAUGAUGUGGAAACAUGUCAGUGAGCAAUCACCGCUGUGAAGGUGCUGCAUGGUUGUCGUCAGCUCGUGCCGUGAGGUGUCGGCUUAAGUGCCAUAACGAGCGCAACCCUUAUCUUCAGUUACUAACAGGUCAUGCUGAGGACUCUGGAGAGACUGCCGUCGUAAGAUGUGAGGAAGGUGGGGAUGACGUCAAAUCAGCACGGCCCUUACGUCCGGGGCUACACACGUGUUACAAUGGGGGGUACAGAAGGCAGCUAGCGGGUGACCGUAUGCUAAUCCCAAAAGCCUCUCUCAGUUCGGAUCGAAGUCUGCAACCCGACUUCGUGAAGCUGGAUUCGCUAGUAAUCGCGCAUCAGCCACGGCGCGGUGAAUACGUUCCCGGGCCUUGUACACACCGCCCGUCAAGCCAUGGGAGCCGGGGGUACCUGAAGUACGUAAACGCAAGGAUCGUCCUAGGGUAAAACUGGUG
rnacentral:rRNA from 1 species